rnacentral:snRNA from 1 species
AUAUUGCUGGCAUAGGGGUUACCAUGAUCACUAAGGCGGUUCCCCCAGGGCGAGGCCCUUCCAUUGCACUUCGGUUGGGUUGACUAGGGGACGGACCUGGUGUAGU